rnacentral:lncRNA from 1 species
AAAAUGGAUAUCUUAUGAAGACUUAGAAGAUAAAAUGUUUGGUAUGCUUGAGGGGCAGGGUAAUUCUAGACAAUACAAGAAUUUUCUUUCCUACUUGUUUUCCCAUGCAGCCCAGGGUUAUUUAGCUAAACUUUUAAUACACAAGUGGGAAUUUUGCUGAAUGAUUCUCCAGUACAACUUUUAUGCUUUUUUUUUUCUCCUGUUUCUUUCCCCCCCCCCGCCCCUUUUUUGUUUUCUUUUGUUUGAACUACCCAUAGGCAGUGGUUCAAUAGCAGACUUUUAAAGAAUGGGUUGGUGUGGGUUGGGGUUGAUCUGGUCAAAGAUGUGGUUGUUUUGCCUUUUUUUUCCUGGCCUGGUUACUGGCCCAAAGGACAGAGCAGCAGCAGCAGCAUGAAGCAGUAGCUGAUUCCAGGGCCAUUAGGAUUCUGGUGGCAUUAGGAUAUCUGCCUUGCUUUUUUUUUAUUUUUUUUUUUUCCUUCAUGAGAAAAUGUAAUGCAAGUUAAGCAAAAUCUGAAUACAGUCUCUUUUUUGUUGUUUUGUUUUGUUUUGUCCAAAACCUGAGGCAAUUAGGAAAAGAACAGAGAUUGUCAGGCAUUUAAACCCUCCAGCUCUCACAGCAUGGAGUGUGACAAGGCUGAACUGAAGGCCAACUUCUCUUCCCUGAGAUCAGAGAGACAAGUGGCUAAACAAAUGGCCAAGCUGAUACUUGCUGCUGAAUUUCUUCAGAUUAAACUCAGCUUUGCUGGAAUAAAGAUCAAUAUGCAAGAAAGUACAUGUGCAAGGCAUGGACAAAACUGGCAUGGUAAAUGCUGUUACUCUGCUGAUUCCAGAUCUGCCUCAUUUUGCUUUGGGCUGCUGCAGAAUUUAGGUGUGUUUAGGUGAAUGUGAAACUAGAGAAGUAAGGUGGCUGAAGACUAGUGCUUUACUUUGGCUUUUACAAUAUGUUUUGCAAAGGAAUAGCCACUUUUGCUCUUCUUUCUUUUUUGGUGCACUAAAAGCUAGAUAUUCUUUUCUCAUUCUUAUUUUAAUAACAAAUAACCUCUACUGCUGCCAUUUUGUUACAUAUUGGUCUGUGGAACACCUAUUGUGUGCAACUUUCUCCCCUGCCUAAGGCUCCCAUAUUGGCCUGUGAAAUGUCUAUGGUGCUUGGAUGCCUGGGCUGAAAGGCAUUUUAAAAAGCUGAAACAGAAUCUUUAGUAUUUUUUUUAUGUUCUCAGUUCAUUUUGUAAUCUAUGCCACAUGUGGAAUAAGUGUUUGGGUGGUGUGUGUGCAGGCCUCCUCUGAAUUGGUCCACAGUGUUCUGUAAUUUCCUCAAGUUUAAGGAUUUAGGAAUAAAAUUACUAACUGACCUGGACA